UACGUAGGGGGCAAGCGUUGUCCGGAAUCAUUGGGCGUAAAGCGCGUGUAGGCGGCUUGGUAAGUCCGCUCUGAAAGCCCGGGGCUCAACCCCGGGAGGCGGGUGGAUACUGUCAAGCUCGAGUCCGGAAGAGGCGAGUGGAAUUCCCGGUGUAGCGGUGAAAUGCGCAGAUAUCAGGAGGAACACCAAUGGCGAAGGCAGCUCGCUGGGACGUGACUGACGCUGAGACGCGAAAGCGUGGGGAGCAAACAGG
rnacentral:rRNA from 1 species